rnacentral:tRNA from 1 species
GGGGGUAUAGCUCAGUGGUAGAGCAUUUGACUUCAAAAUUUGCUGCUCCUG